GUGGGGAAUCUUCCGCAAUGGACGAAAGUCUGACGGAGCAACGCCGCGUGAGUGAUGAAGGUCUUCGGAUUGUAAAGCUCUGUUAAUCGGGACGAAAGAGCCUAGUGUGAAUAAUGCUAGGAAGUGACGGUACCGGAAUAGAAAGCCACGGCUAACUACGUGCCAGCAGCCGCGGUAAUACGUAGGUGGCAAGCGUUGUCCGGAAGUAUUGGGCGUAAAGCGCGCGCAGGCGGAUCUGCCAGUCUGUCUUAAAAGUUCGGGGCUUAACCCCGUGAUGGGAUGGAAACUACAGAUCUAGAGUAUCGGAGAGGAAAGUGGAAUUCCUAGUGUAGCGGUGAAAUGCGUAGAUAUUAGGAAGAACACCAGUGGCGAAGGCGACUUUCUGGACGAAAACUGACGCUGAGGCGCGAAAGCCAGGGGAGCGAACGGGAUUAGAAACCCCAGUAGUCC
rnacentral:rRNA from 1 species